AAUCCGCAGGCGGAGUUCUUCUGAGACUUCAGGCUUUAGGAAAGAUUCUAGAGAUAGCUACCGGCAGAUCCCGGAUAUUUCAGAUCCGCAGACACAUCCACCCACUGAGUGACUUGAAUUUCUUUUCUCGAACAUAACUCCAGGCUAUGCUUUUAUUGAAUGCAGUGUAAUUACUAGAGUUUCACAGUGCUCUGGGAGUUCUGAGGAACCAUCUCUUGUGACCAGGAGACUUCGCAGUAGAUGUGCAGUACAUCUGAGAUAAGCCUUGAAGAACAGGCAGCCACCUGCCCUCCCUAGAAGGCCUUCCGGGGUGGCAGAAGUUAGUGCUGACUCCCUGGCCGCUCACGCCCUCGUCAUCUUUGAGAGCAGGCUGCUUCCGGAUGGUCUAACACGCUGGAGGCGGUUUCUCACAUAGGAAGGUGAAGAUGGAGUUAAAUCCUGUGUUCCGACCAAUGACAUUUAGGUGGAAGAUUAGAUGAUGCAGAGAAAAAUCUGGAUAUCUAAAUCCUUAUUACUCAAGUGUGGGCCAAGCAUGGACAUCACCUGGAAGCUUGUUGGAACUGAGAAGUCUCAGGCCCCACCCCAGACCCACUGAAUCAGACUUUGCAUUUUAACACAACCCCCAGGGCAUUCCCAGCCAUAUUAAAGUUUGGGGAGCUCCUGGGUGUCCAUGCAGCGCCUGUCCACACUUCCACAGGUAACAUCCGUACCUUAGACGUACAUCACAUCCCGUCCAGUAUGGAAGUCUGUGCCUGUGAUUUCUUUUCCCGCCAGGCCGGGAAUUCCUGGAAGGUACACACCAACCAUUGUGUAUGGGCCUGGACCUCUCUUUGCAUCGAGCACAAUGACAGGAAGCAGAAGACCUGGGUUUCGGUCCUGCUUCUGCCAUUUAAAGCUUGCGUGUGUUGCAUCUUCUGUGAGAGAAUUU